AGUGUUUUGGCUUAGUGGUUAGCAUGUUUGUCUCACAACUCCAGGGUUGGAGGUUCGAUUCCUACCUCCACCA